CGAGCGUACACAGGUGCUGCAUGGCUGUCGUCAGCUCGUGUCGUGAGAUGUUGGGUUAAGUCCCGCAACGAGACGCAACCCUCGCAUUCAGUUGCCAUCGGGUAAUGCCGGGCACUCGUGGAAGGACUGCCAUCGACAAGAUGGAGGAAGGUGGGGAGUGACGUCAAGUCAUCAUGGCCCUUAUGUCCAGGGCGACACACGUGCUACAAUGGCCGGCACAACGGGAAGCGAGUUCGCGAGGACGAGCGGAUCCCUCAAAGCCGGUCGCAGUUCGGAUUGAAGUCUGCAACUCGACUUCAUGAAGCUGGAAUCGCUAGUAAUCGUGGAUCAGCCAAGCCGCGGUGAAUACGUUCCCGGGCCUU
rnacentral:rRNA from 1 species